CAAGAAGCCAUCGCAACAGAUAGCAGUCGCACAAAGAGUGGCUGACAUUGAGAGUGGAGACUGGAGAGUGAAGACAGCGUCGAAUCGAUCAAUCGAAGCUUGAGUGAAGCAAGGAAAGCACAAAGAAGAGUUUCAGACGGCGUCGAAGAAGGGUUUUUGAAAUCAAAACAUGAUUUCAGGCAUUAUAACUUUGUUCUUUCUCUGGGUAGAGCGAUAUGUAGUUGUUUUUCAUAGUCGCUGACGAAGCGCUGUAUCUCUCUUUCUGUUGAGGCUUCAACACCUCCGAGUGCUACAACGGCUCGAAGGCCAUGAAUUGGUGGAAUCAACAAAAUGGCAGCGAAAGGUGGCGAUGGCGAGGCAGAUCGAGGUGAAACGUUGCGUCGCUUGUCAAGAUGCCACUGCUCGUAUCAGAGUAUUCAAUCACAAAGGCUUUCUGCAUAGCAUGUCAUGACCUUCUCUUCCAUUUUGAUGUUCCUGUCUUUUGGCCUAUGUUACUCUGUUACUGGAUGGUUCUCUUUGCCCUCACAAAAUAUUAGAUUUCUACUUCUGGAUUUAUACAAAAUAUUCAGGGGAAAGAAUGAUGAACUGUGUGUUUUUGGAAGACUUGCUGCUGGAGCUUUCGCAGGCAUGACAUCCACUUUUGGUAUCUCGCAGGGCAUAUUCAGUGCUGGAAGUGGAAAUUCGUCAAAAACGAUAGUGGCCAAUGGCAGAGCUGGUAAAAAACCCAAGGGUAUGGAGAAAGCACAAGCUGAGAUGAGAAAAGUAUAUGAAGGAAAAUGUUAUGCUUUAGUUUAGAUCGUAAAUGCUUUUGUUUAGGCCUGGUCUCAAAAUUUGUGUGAAUUUCUUUUGAUAUAUAUUUAAAUGGUUUUUAUUUUUUUAUUUUGAAUAUCUCGUGUUUCUCAUUGUAAAUGUUUCAUUUUUUUUAUAUUUGGCCAAGCUGACGAGCUGAUUAUGGUAAUUUUUAUCUGUAUAACUUUAUUGGGCAACAGAUUCGCCAUCUUGUACCCUUUGGGGAGAAAAAGUAGGGAAAUGGUUAAAUGGAAAAUUUCAAGCA